ensembl:lncRNA
CUUCUUGUUCCCAGCCUAAAUCCUUUCUCCUUUUCAUCUCUCUCUGAGGAUACAAACAGGAUUCUGCUGCCCCUGACCACUCUGCAAGUCCAGCAUAUUAUGAAGCAUGGAUAAAUUUCCAGCAGUUUCCAUUUUCCUUUCUGGACUCUUUGGAGAUAAGUGACCUGUGACUCCUCUGCAAAAAGGAUCACUCCAUUCAGGCGAGAUCUGAAUUCCUAAUGAUAGAUAAGAUGGAAAGAAAAAAUGGAGCGACCUUAAUGCAUAACUUUGCUCCAGACCUGGGGAGCAUCUCAAAUUUCCAAAUCUUCUGUCAUCACAUAAUGAACUCUGCAGAAUACAAUCAACAGCUGUUGUGCUGCUGGCAAGGGGGACGUUGCAUGUAAGCUGCCUUUCAACUCAAAAGAAAGACCCUAAAAAAAAACCAAAACAUUAAGAGAUUGAUUCUCCUCCCAAAGUUAAAGUAUGGCAUGAAAAGUGGAUCACUGCUUCAAAAUGGACCACCUGAUUUAAUGGCAGCUGGCCAUUAAUUCUCUGGAAAUUGUUUUCCACCUCAAAUGCUGUUCUUUAAACAAAAGUCUGC